UAGGGAAUCUUCGGCAAUGGGGGGAACCCUGACCGAGCAACGCCGCGUGAGUGAAGAAGGUUUUCGGAUCGUAAAGCUCUGUUGUUAAGGAAGAACGAGUGUGAGAAUGAAAGGUUAUGCUGUGAAGGUAAUUAACCAGAAAGGGACGGCCAACUACGUGCCAGCAGCCGCGGUAAUACGUAGGUCCCGAGCGUUGUCCGGAUUUAUUGGGCGUAAAGCGAGCGCAGGCGGUUAGAAAAGUCUGAAGUGAAAGGCAGUGGCUCAACCAUUGUAGGCUUUGGAAACUGUUUAACUUGAGUGCAGAAGGGGAGAGUGGAAUUCCAUGUGUAGCGGUGAAAUGCGUAGAUAUAUGGAGGAACACCGGUGGCGAAAGCGGCUCUCUGGUCUGUAACUGACGCUGAGGCUCGAAAGCGUGGGGAGCGAACAGG
rnacentral:rRNA from 1 species